rnacentral:rRNA from 1 species
UACGUAGGGGGCAAGCGUUGUCCGGAUUUAUUGGGCGUAAAGAGCGUGUAGGCGGCCAAGCAGGUCAGCUGUGAAAACUCGAGGCUCAACCUCGAGACGUCGGUUGAAACCGCCUGGCUAGAGUCCGGAAGAGGAGAGUGGAAUUCCCGGUGUAGCGGUGAAAUGCGCAGAUAUCGGGAAGAACACCCGUGGCGAAGGCGGCUCUCUGGGACGGUACUGACGCUGAGACGCGAAAGCGUGGGGAGCGAACAGG